rnacentral:rRNA from 1 species
UACGGAGGGGGCUAGCGUUGUUCGGAAUUACUGGGCGUAAAGCGCGCGUAGGCGGACCUGCAAGUCGGGGGUGAAAGCCCGAGGCUCAACCUCGGAACUGCCUUCGAUACUGCGGGUCUCGGAGUCCGGGAGAGGUGAGUGGAAUUCCUAGUGUAGAGGUGAAAUUCGUAGAUAUUAGGAAGAACACCAGUGGGCGAAAGGCGGCUCAC